GUCCUUCUUGUUAAAAAAAAGUGGUCGAGAAAUCGACAAAAUUAAAAAAUAAAUAUAACAAAUAUUUAUUGUGGGCGUUUUUUCGAGGCCUAAAACAUCGAAAAGUCGCGGUAGUGAAAAAAAAGACCUAUCGUGACAAAUUAAAAAAAAAAAACACAAUAAUAAAAAAGUUUUUGGUGGUCGUGAAAACGACAAUUCAAAAGAUAUGGCAACCAGAAAAUAAGAAUAAAACAAUUUUCUGGGGUCGAGAAAUCGACUAAGAUAUUGUGUGGAAGUUACCCAGCCCUUGACGGAGAAAAGGAGAAGGAGGGACGACCUCACGGCAGCAACUACAAAUAAGUCUGCAACAACAACGACGGCCGCAGCGACGAUACAGAAACAGGCGGCAUCAGGAAAUCAUCCUACAACAAACAACGGCGGCAGCGACGACAGCAGCAGCAAAAAACAACAACAUCAAAAUUAAAGACGACGGCGGCGCGGCAGAAGCGGAAAAAGCAGCAGAAUUAGGAGUUACUUAACUCAAUAUUCCCCCGGCAGGACCUCACUUCGGAGGUAUUUAUAAAGCUGGAGUUAACGUCAUAAAAU